rnacentral:rRNA from 1 species
AGAAUGAACGCUAGCGAUAUGCUUAACACAUGCAAGUUGAACGUUGUUUUCGAAUAAAAAUGAAAACAAAGUGGCGAACGGGUGCGUAACACGUAGGAAUCUGCCAAACAGUUUGGGCCAAAUCCUGAAUGAAUAAAAAGCUAAAAAAGCGCUGUUUGAUGAGCCCACGUAGUAUUAGGUAGUUGGUUAGGUAAAAGCUGACCAAGCCUACGAUGCUUAGCUGGUCUUUUCGGAUGAUCAGCCACACUGGGACUGAAACACGGUCCAGACUCCUACGGGAGGCAGCAGUGGAGAAUUUUGCGCAAUGGGGGAAACCCUGACGCAGCAACGCCGCGUGGAGGAUGAAGCCCCUUGGGGCGUAAACUCCUUUCGAUCGGGAAGAUAAUGACGGUACCGAGAGAAGAAGCCCCGGCUAACUUCGUGCCAGCAGCCGCGA